GAUGACGCAGCCAGUUCUCAUUCUCUCCCAGGGCUCACUGCUGCCUAGAGGUUUCUGGGAGAUGUAGUAACUAGUGAUCUCGCGAUAGCUUUCAAGGGGCUGGUUUGUGUAUGAGCUCACACGCUGCUGCUAUGGCGUCAUACUCAGUGUGUAGCUGAUGCGUAGACAUAGCAUAGAGGUGGGGACAUAGAGGUGGGGACAAGGAACCAAAGAGGACAAAGAGAAGAGCGGGCAGAACUCUGAUGUUUACUGGGACCCAUAAUAGUCAAGUUAACUCAUCUGAAAUGGGAAGACCUACUUCUAAUCUGGACCUCUGAAGUGGAAGAUCCGCUGUGAAUGCAGAUCCACCUCUAGUCUGGACCACUGCUUCAGACAAUGUUUGGUUCUGGGGCCCGUCACUCCAUGGCGGCCAGAAGCUCCACAGUUACACCACAUGGGUAAUUAAUUAUCAUGCCAUGGUUUCUUUGAAGUCAGGACCGUGUCUGUCCUGUCCACAUCUGUCCCCAGAGAAAGCCCAGAAUGACAUAGUCUAUAUAAAGGACAUGGAUGGAGGAAGCUUGCUCUCUCUGCCUGCUUGCUCUUGCUGGAAAAUCCAUUCCUUCAGUAGCAUUAAAGUCUACUUCUUCUACUUCAGUA